CACGUAGGGCGCAAGCGUUGUCCGGAAUUAUUGGGCGUAAAGAGCUCGUAGGCGGUCUGUUGCGUCCGCUGUGAAAGCCCGGGGCCCAACCCCGGAACUGCAUCUGAAACUGCCUGGCUAGAGUCCCGGAGAGGAAGGCAGAAUUCCCGGUGUAGGGGUGAAAUCCGUAGAUAUCGGGAGGAAUACCAGCGGCGAAGGCGGCCUUCUGGACGGUGACUGACGCUGAGACGCGAAAGCGUGGGGAGCAAACAGG
rnacentral:rRNA from 1 species